UGUUGCUAGGUGGUUGCUAAGGUGUUGCUAUGGUAUCUGGGGUGGUUGCUAAGGUGUUUCUAGGUGGUUGCUAGGUGGUUGCUAAGGUGUUGCUAUGGUAUCCGGGGUGGUUGCUAAGAUGUUGCUAGGUGGUUGCUAAGGUGUUGCUAUGCGGUUGCUAAGGUGUUGCUAUGGUAUCUGGGGUGGUUGCUAAGGUGUUUCUAGGUGGUUGCUAGGUGGUUGCUAAGGUGUUGCUAUGGUAUCCGGGGUGGUUGCUAAGAUGUUGCUAGGUGGUUGCUAAGAUGUUGCUAGGUGGUUGCUAAGGUGUUUCUAUGGUAUCUGGGGUGGUUGCUAAGGUGUUUCUAGGUGGUUGCUAGGUGGUUGCUAAGGUGUUGCUAUGGUAUCCGGGGUGGUUGCUAAGAUGUUGCUAGGUGGUUGCUAAUGUGUUGCUAUGGUAUCUGGGGUGGUUGCUAAGGUGUUUCUAGGUGGUUGCUAGGUGGUUGCUAAGGUGUUUCUAGGUG